CUGACACUGAGCAUGCGCAAGCCCGCCUUUCCCUCUCUAAGCAAUCCUCCCGCCCCGCAUCUUUAAGGGGUUCAGCCGAUGAGCUGUCUCCCCUGUUCUGCAUCCUGAGUCCCGAAAAGCCUCUUCCGAUGGCUGUUCCUCCUAUUCGUGAUUUCUAGCUGAAGUAGCGGGUACUGAGCUGGUACACUAGGAGCCAGUAACACCAAAGGCCCCUGGGACCAAAAGCUACCGGGAGCCUGGGCUGUCGCACUGAAGGUGGCAGCGUCAGAAAACAACGGAGAGCAAGGAGGAAUCGCCAGGAGCAGCCAUCUGCGGUGGUGGGAAGACUCCCGUGGCCUGCUGGUCGCUGCUGGCUCCAAAUGGCAAGGAGGGCUGCUAGCUCCAGAAGAGCUGGGAGCUGCUGGCGUUCAGCGCCCAGGGCUGUUUUUGUAUUCUUUUUCCUCCCCCUCCCCCGAUAGGGUCUUGCAACAUAGUCCAGGCUGGCCUUGAACUCACGGCGAUCCUCCUGCCUCAGCCUCCUGAGUCCUGGGAUUACAGGGCUACACCACCAUACCCAGCUCAAGGCUGUUAACGCUCAAAGAGCUACACGUUGCCAAGUCAUGAUUUCUAUAGGAACUGAGCAAGUGUCCUCAGCUGAUUCUUCCCUUUCAGAGGGCUCUGAAGAAGAGCACGGACAAUGGCUUAAGAGCUGUAUCUGAUUUCCACCUUCCGUGACAGGAGCCCCUGUGCUGGAGGAGCCAGGGCAGAAGGGACAGGGCCCGUCCACCCAGCCAUCUCAGGGAAGGAGGAGGGCGCCAGGCCCCGCGCUGCCGCGAGGGUUCAAGUUCAAUGUCUGCACAGCCCUGCCUGCCCCAGCCCCCAGACCUGCGUCCUGGGCGAGUCUCCUGCCCUGUGGGUGCCUUGGCUUCCUCUCACAGGGGACGGGGAAUAGGCGGGGCAGCGCUCAGCAAAGGCUAACGGUGAAGAGGACUGGAGGAAUAAGGGGGAGACUGACAUGAUGAGGAGAGAUGGCAGUGACAGAGCGCUGAAGGAGAAGGGGCGGGCAGUCCAGAAGGUGACAAGGGAGACGGUAUUUGUUACAGUGACUGAAAGCUGACAAACACAGUGAUGUUCAUUUCUGACCGAUUUAAAUCAAAAUGGAAGCAACUUUAACGUCCAUCCUUGAGCUCCAGUUAGCCUAAGGGACGCAUUCCUGCCUCAGAACUUGUCACACUCUUCAGAAAUGGAGCUUCCAGUAAUACAGGGCAGCUGAGACUAGCAGGCUAUGAGUCAAAGCAGGACCUGCUGUGACAGCCACUGUAUCAUUUCAGUUGCCAACAGGCCCAGAAAAAAACUGCAAGGGAUCUGCCAGCACUCAACAAGCGUUGUCCCUUAGUGACAAGAUUAUGGGAAAUGCUACUUCUCUAUACUUCGCCAAGCUGCCACCAGAGCUAUACAAUCCUUUGGCAAUCAGUAAAAACAAGAGCACAAAAAAAGCCAGGUGUGAUGGCACACACGUGUAAUCUCAGCACUCGGGAGGCUGAGGCAGGAGGACCACAAGUUUGAGUUCAGCUUGGGCUACAUAGUGAGACUCUGUCUUCAAAAACAAAACAGAAAAACCAAACAAAGAAAAACUCAAGAGCGCAAAGGAGAAAAAUUAAGUAGAGCAAAGGAAGAGGUGCCAGGCUGCUCGGGUAGAUAGACAUGGGGAUGCAGGGCUGGGCCACCUGCACCUUGGACGAGCCUCAGGCCUGUCAGAACCAAGAGCUGUGCUUCCCUGCCUUCUCCACGACCAGCCCAACCAAAGCUGGGUUUCUUCCUUCUCAGUGCCCUGGGGCUCCCACUCGACUGUGACCUGUCCUCAUGUGCGGCAGUGGCCCAUCCUGCGUCCUCUUCACCCCCAUGUCCAGCAUCUUCUUGCCAGCCCAGCCAGACGGGAGCUGGUAUUGCAGAUUGGAGCCUCGGUGCAAAUCUGGGCAGUGAAUGAAUGGGCUACUCUCCCCUCGGAGUGUAAGCCGGAGUGGGGACGACGAAGACCCGGCGACCCCAUGCAGACCCAUUUUCCAGAUGAGGCAGAGAGGUGAGCAAACCCAAGCACACAGGGAACCUGGCCCAGGCUGCGUAAUGGUAAGGGGCCCACAGGAACUCAACCGGGGAACCCUGGCUCCCAAAGAAGAGGCAGGCUUUUCUCUAACACCUGGAAGGACAGAAGAGGAAAAAAAAGCCAUCACUACUGAGCAUCUACUGUGUGCACAAGGCAGUGCACAGGACACUCACUGUGGCUCUGGACUCUACAUGAGAGUUCCAGGUGAUUUCAACAAAAGCCACACAAGUCUAUGGAGUGCUGCUUCGCUUUCUUGUCACAGCCCAGGGACACAUGUACCAGCAGUGGGCCUGGGGCUGCACAGAGGGUCCUGUGGGAGGCUGGGGAGCCCACUGGGGCUGUUUCCCCAUCUGUGUGUAGGCCAGGCUGACUGCAGAGUGCCCUUGCAGACAGCUGCUGCCCUCUGGCCUCUCUGGGUCUCCUGGGGCCCAGGGCUGGCCCUUGUCUGGAGA
rnacentral:lncRNA from 1 species